rnacentral:lncRNA from 1 species
CACUUGGUGGUAUCUAUGGUGUUCUGAACCAGAAGAGAGGGCACGUGUUUGAGGAGAUGCAGAGGCCUGGUACCCCGCUCUACAACAUCAAGGCUUACCUCCCUGUCAUCGAGUCCUUCGGGUUCUCCAGCCAACUGAGGGCUGCAACCUCUGGCCAGGCGUUCCCUCAGUGUGUGUUUGACCACUGGGACAUGAUGGGCUCUGAUCCUCUGGAGGCCGGCUCCCAGGCUGCUCAGCUGGUGUUGGAUAUCCGCAAGAGGAAGGGUCUCAAGGAGCAGAUGACCCCUCUUUCUGAGUUCGAGGACAAGCUCUAAAUUUUGGUGGUUUGUGC